AUUUUCUUUAUCCAUUUAUUUGAGCCUAUGUGUGUCUUUGCAUAUGAGAUAGGUCUCUUGAAGACAGCACUCUGAUGGGUCUUGCCUCUUUAUCCAGCUUGUCAUUCUGUGUUUUUAAAUUGGAACAUUUACCUCACUUACAUUUAAGUUUAAUGUUAUGUAUGAAUUUGAUCCUGUC